rnacentral:rRNA from 1 species
GUGAGGAAUAUUGCGCAAUGGAGGCAACUCUGACGCAGCCAUGCCGCGUGCAGGAAGAAGGCGCUACGCGUUGUAAACUGCUUUUAACCGGGAAGAAACCCCAGGACGUGUCCUGGGUUGACGGUACCGGAGGAAUAAGCACCGGCUAACUUCGUGCCAGCAGCCGCGGUAAUACGAAGGGUGCAAGCGUUAUCCGGAUUCAUUGGGUUUAAAGGGUGCGUAGGCGGAGCGUUAAGUCAGUGGUGAAAUCCUGCAGCUUAACUGUAGACUUGCCAUUGAUACUGGCGCUCUUGAGUGCGCUUGAAGUGGGCGGAAUGUGCCGUGUAGCAGUGAAAUGCUUAGAUAUGGCACAGAACACCAAUUGCGAAGGCAGCUCACUAAGGCGAUACUGACGCUGAGGCACGAAAGCGUGGGGAUCGAACAGGAUUAGAUACCCCAGUAGUCC